rnacentral:lncRNA from 1 species
AGAGCAGUAAUCACCAGUCCACUGAGGCAGCAGAGGGGCCUACGGCUGGGACUGUGGGAACAGGGAAGCUGCACCCAGGGCUUCACCCACAGGCACCAUCGCUUACUCUGCCUGGCUCGCGGGUCGGUGAAGGGAGUGGCUGCCCUUCUGCUCAGCUCGGUCUUUGUCCCAUUAUUUUCUCCAUUUGUUCUGCUGAAGAGACAGCCAGGAGGCAGUGAAGUGGCCCCUCCAAGGUCAAGGCAGCAUGCAAACCCCACCUGCCCGCUGAGCCUGACAUUUAUUUUAUCACAAUGGGUUUCAAGCAGGAAGAUUGCCCUGUCCUGAGGACAGGACAGCCAGCUUCAUGGGCACUUGACAUGAAAACCUCCAGUGGCCUCAGUACCCAGGUGGGGGUGGGAGCACUGCAACCCUCAGGGCAAAACCAAGGAACAUGAAGGUGUUGGGGAUGCACCUGGGCCUCAGCCUGGCAAAGAGCCCAAGAAACACCCAGGUAGACUUUGGGAGUGGGAAAGACUCCACCCACGGUCUCCGAGAGAAGGAGGCUAAUGGGGCAGGGGGUGAAGACAGGAUAAAUGAAGGAACGCAAGAAGCCUAAGGGGGAAGGUGGUUUGAGGGCUGAAGCCCAGGUUGAGACUAGAAGGCCAGGCAGAAGCAUUCAGAUCCCAGGUCCUGUAAAUUCUUUCCCACUGGGGAAAGAAUUUGUCCUACAGGAAGGCUGAGGAAAGGCUCUGCUGAGUCUAUCUUCGCUUUGUUUUUUGCAAGAAAAGUUUUCCUUUUGUGAAAACUUAUCAUACAGAUUGGGCCAUUCUUGUCACACCCAACUAAAACACAGUCAAGAAUCCAGUGGGGAUAGCACCCAGAGCACAAUACAUUGCUCCAAAAAUGUAAUUAUCUGUAGGCCUAGCAGCUGAAACUGCCUGCAGUAGCCUGAAACCAGUUUUAUCUAAGACUCCUGAAAUGACCUGCUGCAACUCUCAGACUAGCUUUGCCCAUGGCUGUCACUUCCCAAUCAGAGCUUGCCAGCUACUCAGAACCUUACUAGUGCUGGUGAAAUUUCUCAAAGAGCAAUGCAUAACAUUUCUUCUUUCUAUAAAACCUCUGACCUUCUAUUUGUUCUUCAGAGAGAGCACUUUUGAUUCACGCUGGAAACUCUCUCCAUCAGUUUGGUUUGCAAACUGAUGUUGACAUUAAAGCCCUCUCUUCGACUACCCAGCCAUCCUGGUGGUCCUUUGGGUAACACUUGCUUCAUGAGGCUGUACAAUGGUCUAAUAAGAGGGCAGAGGAAAUUCAUGGUAAGCCCUUUAUCCCCAGGGACAGCUCCUGGCAGGACAGGUGCUGGAGGAGGGGGAAGGCUUUCUGUCCUUUUUCAUUGCUUAUCCCUUUUGUCUUGCCUGCAUCUGAUGUUGAGUUUGGUUUCUCAGAUUAAUAUUUCUUUCCAGAGUAGCCAAAAAAAUCAUCUGCCACCGAGUUGGACUGGUUAGAGCACCCUCCCCUUGCAUUUUUAAUGAUCUGACCAAAUAAUAAUAAUUCCCAA